rnacentral:tRNA from 1 species
GCAUCGUUCGUCUAGCCGGUUUAAGGACGACUGUCUUGUAAACAGUAAACGGCGGUUCAAAUCCGCCACGAUGCUCCA